rnacentral:rRNA from 1 species
UGAAUGUCCUAGGGGGUAUUGCACUUACCGAAGACUAUCAAACUCCGAAUGCCGUUUUCUUUUACUUGGGAGUCAGACUGUGGGUGAUAAGAUUCAUAGUCAAAAGGGCAACAGCCCAGAUCGUCAGCUAAGGUCCCUAAAUGUACGUUAAGUGGUAAAGGAUGUGGGAUUGCACAGACAACCAGGAUGUUGGCUUAGAAGCAGCCACUCAUUUAAAGAGUGCGUAAUAGCUCACUGGUCGAGUGAUCCUGCGCCGAAAAUUUCCGGGGCUAAAACGUACUACCGAAGCUACGGCAUCAUUUAUGAUGGGUAGGGGAGCUUCGUAUGCAGGCUGAAGCAUGACCGUAAGGACAUGUGGACAGUAUACGAGUGAGAAUGUUGGCAUGAGUAGCGAGACGUGGGUGAGAAUCCCACGGGCCGUAAACCCAAGGUUUCCAGGGGAAGGUUCGUCCGCCCUGGGUUAGUCGGGACCUAAGCCGAGGCCGAAAGGCGUAGGUGAUGGACAACAGGUUGAUAUUCCUGUACCGCCAAUAAGCGUUUGAGAGAUGGAGUGACACAGUAGGAUAAGCUAACCGUACUGUUGGUUAUGUACGGCUAAGCAUUGAGGCAGUCUAAAUAGGCAAAUCCGUUUAGACAAUGCUAGGAUGUGAUGGGGAAGCCCUUCGGGGCGAAGUAGCUGAUUUCACACUGUCAAGAAAAGCUUCUAUCGAGUUUAAAGGCGCCCGUACCGUAAACCGACACAGGUGGGUGAGGAGAGUAUCCUAAGGCCAGCGAGAGAACUAUUGUUAAGGAACUCGGCAAAAUGACCCCGUAACUUAGGGAGAAGGGGUGCCUGUCUAUGACAGGCCGCAGAGAAUAGGCCCAAGCGACUGUUUACCAAAAACACAGGUUUCUGCUAAGUCGCAAGACGAUGUAUAGGAGCUGACGCCUGCCCGGUGCUGGAAGGUUAAGGGGAUCUGUUAGAGCAAUCGAAGCAGUGAACUUAAGCCCCAGUAAACGGCGGCCGUAACUAUAACGGUCCUAAGGUAGCGAAAUUCCUUGUCGGGUAAGUUCCGACCCGCACGAAAGGCGUAACGAUUUGGGCACUGUCUCAACAAUAGACUCGGUGAAAUUGUAAUCCCGGUGAAGAUGCCGGGUACCUGCGACAGGACGGAAAGACCCCAUGGAGCUUUACUGUAGCUUGACGUUGGGUCUUGGUACUACAUGUACAGGAUAGGUGGGAGACUAUGAAGCAUGGACGCCAGUCUGUGUGGAGUCAUCCUUGGGAUACCACCCUUGUAGUACUGGGAUCCUAACCAUAGGCCUUGAAUCAGGUCUUGGAACACCGUCAGGUGGGCAGUUUGACUGGGGCGGUCGCCUCCUAAAAAGUAACGGAGGCGCUCAAAGGUUUCCUCAGCACGGUCGGAAAUCGUGCGAAGAGUGUAAAGGCAAAAGGAAGCUUGAUUGCAAGACAUACAGGUCGAGCAAGGACGAAAGUCGGACUUAGUGAUCCGGUGGUACCGCAUGGAAGGGCCAUCGCUCAACGGAUAAAAGCUACCCUGGGGAUAACAGGCUUAUCUCCCCCAAGAGUCCACAUCGACGGGGAGGUUUGGCACCUCGAUGUCGGCUCAUCGCAUCCUGGGGCUGUAGUAGGUCCCAAGGGUUGGGCUGUUCGCCCAUUAAAGUGGUACGCGAGCUGGGUUCAGAACGUCGUGAGACAGUUCGGUCCCUAUCCGUCGCAGGCGUAGGAAAUUUGAGAAGACCUGUCCUUAGUACGAGAGGACCGGGAUGGACGUACCUCUGGUGUACCAGUUGUUCUGCCAAGGGCAUGGCUGGGUAGCUAUGUACGGAAUGGAUAAGCGCUGAAAGCAUCUAAGCGCGAAGCCAACUUCAAGAUAAGAUUUCCCACCGUAAGGGUAAGACCCCAGGAAGACUACCUGGUUGAUAGGUCGAAGGUGUAAGUGCAGUAAUGUAUUUAGCUUAUCGAUACUAAUAGGUCGAGGACUUGACCAA